rnacentral:rRNA from 1 species
CCUACGGGUGGCAGCAGUGAGGAAUAUUGGUCAAUGGCCGAGAGGCUGAACCAGCCAAGUCGCGUGAGGGAAGACGGCCCUACGGGUUGUAAACCUCUUUUGUCGGGGAGCAAAGCGAACCACGUGUGGUUCAUUGAGAGUACCCGAAGAAAAAGCAUCGGCUAACUCCGUGCCAGCAGCCGCGGUAAUACGGAGGAUGCGAGCGUUAUCCGGAUUUAUUGGGUUUAAAGGGUGCGCAGGCGGAGGUGCAAGUCAGUGGUCAAAUUGCGGGGCUCAACCCCGUACUGCCGUUGAAACUGGACGCCUUGAGUUCACAACAGGCAGGCGGAAUUCGUGGUGUAGCGGUGAAAUGCAUAGAUAUCACGAGGAACCCCGAUUGCGAAGGCAGCCUGCCGGGGUGCGACUGACGCUGAGGCUCGAAGGUGCGGGUAUCAAACAGGAUUAGAUACCCCGGUAGUC